GGGAUUCAGCUUUGUGGUAGAGAGCUUGCCUAACACAGGCAAGGCCCUGGGUUCGAUCCCCAGUAUCACA
rnacentral:tRNA from 1 species